GGGGAAUCUUGGUCAAUGGGCGAAAGCCUGAACCAGCGACGCCGCGUGGGUGAUGAAGGCCUUCGGGUCGUAAAGCCCUGUGGGGAGGGACGAAAUGCUGCGGGUGAACAAUCCUCGGAGCUGACUUUACCUCCUUAGCAAGCACCGGCUAACUCUGUGCCAGCAGCCGCGGUAAGACAGAGGGUGCAAACGUUGCUCGGAAUCACUGGGCGUAAAGCGCGUGUAGGUGGCUUCGCAAGUCGGGUGUGAAAUCCCUGGGCUCAACCCAGGACGUGCAUCCGAAACUGCGUCGCUUGAGUACUGGAGAGGGCAGUGGAAUUCCCGGUGUAGAGGUGAAAUUCGUAGAUAUCGGGAGGAACACCGGUGGCGAAGGCGGCUGCCUGGACAGUUACUGACACUGAGACGCGAAAGCGUGGGGAGCAAAC
rnacentral:rRNA from 1 species